CGCCGGCGGUUCGCCGCCGGUGACGUUGUGAGAAGUUCAUUAAACCUUAUCAUUUAGAGGAAGGAGAAGUCGUAACAAGGUUUCCGUAGGUGAACCUGCGGAAGGAUCAUUGCACACACAAGUUGCAGCCAACCCACGGCGAACGAACACAUUGUCCCCUCGGCGGGUCGUGGCGCCUCGCGGCGUCGCGGCCGGCCACCUCCCUUCGCCCUCGCGGCGUCGGGUUUCCACGAUGAAUCCACCCCAAGUGACUGAGUCCCGAAUUCGACUUCGUGAAGAGGAGUGAGCUCCGUCCCCUCGGCUUCGGCGGAGGGGGCCGGCGCUGGUUACCUUGCGAGUUGAAACACUUAACCAAAAACAACUCUCAGCAACGGAUAUCUUGGCUCUUGCAACGAUGAAGAACGCAGCGAAAUGCGAUACGUAGUGUGAAUUGCAGAAUUCCGCGAAUCAUCGAGUCUUUGAACGCAAGUUGCGCCCGAGGCUUGUCCAAGGGCAUUUCCGCUAGAGCGUCACCGCGCCCCCCACCGGCCCACUCCCCCAAUCGGGAGUCGGGUCGAGUGAAGGUGGCCGUCCCGGCGGUCCUCCUCGUCUCGCGGGAAGGAGGAAGGGUCCAAGGGUCGGCUGAAAUGGAAGGAAUCGGGCCGCCGUGGCGACACAGUCCGCGAUCGGGUGAUCCGAGCUCCUCCGGGAGCCCGGAGUUUUUCUAAGUGUUGGCUGCGUCGCCCAGUCGGUUUCCCAGGUUACCUCGUGCAGGUCGAGCGCGCGCCCCCGCGGCGCGCGCGUCACGUCACGCAUCAGACCUUCUUAAUCGGAAAAA
rnacentral:rRNA from 1 species